GACGUAGGGCGCGAGCGUUGUCCGGAUUUAUUGGGCGUAAAGAGCUCGUAGGCGGCUUGUCGCGUCGGCUGUGAAAACCCAGGGCUUAACCCUGGGCUGGCUUCCGAUACGGGCAGACUAGAGGUAUGCAGGGGAGAACGGAAUUCCUGGUGUAGCGGUGAAAUGCGCAGAUAUCAGGAGGAACACCGGUGGCGAAGGCGGUUCUCUGGGCAUUACCUGACGCUGAGGAGCGAAAGUGUGGGGAGCGAACAGG
rnacentral:rRNA from 1 species